rnacentral:rRNA from 1 species
UGGGGGAUAUUGCGCAAUGGGGGAAACCCUGACGCAGCGACGCCGCGUGAAGGAAGAAGGUCUUCGGAUUGUAAACUUUUGUUCUUGGGGACGAGAAAGGACGGUACCCAAGCAGAAAGCCACGGCUAACUACGUGCCAGCAGCCGCGGUAAUACGUAGGUGGCAAGCGUUGUCCGGAUUUACUGGGUGUAAAGGGCGUGUAGGCGGGCAUGCAAGUUGGAUGUGAAAUGUCACGGCUUAACCGUGGAGCUGCAUCCAAAACUGCAAGUCUUGAGUGCCGGAGAGGAAAGCGGAAUUCCUAGUGUAGCGGUGAAAUGCGUAGAUAUUAGGAGGAACACCGGUGGCGAAGGCGGCUUUCUGGACGGUAACUGACGCUGAGGCGCGAAAGCGUGGGGAGCAAACAGG